rnacentral:tRNA from 1 species
GCCCGGCUAGCUCAGUCCGGUAGGGUGUGAGACUCUUGCUCAGGGUCAUGGGUUCAAGUCCAAUGUUGACUU